rnacentral:lncRNA from 1 species
AUUAUUUUUUUCUUCCAUUGUUAAUUCCCAUUAUUCUCUUUGGCCACGCGUGGGGCCCUCCUUGCCCUCCCUCCUCCCAUGCACAAACGAGCCUGGCUGGGCAAGGGGGAAAAUGAUCCACUUCCUCACGCUUGGUCCUGCCCCUCUAGGUGAGUUUAUAUAAGAGGGCUUGGGUCAGGUCUGUCAAUGUGGUGACUCCUGGUGCAGGAACGCGGAGGUGGUGCCUAGAUGGUGUGUUUCUGGGUUCCUUCAGAUGAGUUAUUCCCUUGAGAAAUUAAAUGCUACUUAAGAAACUCCGAGUAAAGAUGUCAAUCUCAUUCCCCGUAGUGCAUGCUCUUCGAUCCAGCAAUCCAUACAUUACAGUAACUGGAAUCAUCUGACCUCAGAAAGUCCCAUUUGUGAAAUAGAGCGUCAUGAACUUGCUGUGAUAUUUGCAUUAUUUGGAUAAAAUUCCCAGUGGUCCAGUGAGAGUUCCACCUCAGUAUGAACCUUAGAAGUGUCCGUUAGUUCCAGCUGCCCCAUAGUAUAUUUGGCAGAGGAGUAAAGGCACGGUCAGCGUCACAACUAAUGGCAUUACUUUUUGAAAGCAAUGCACACAUCCAGGGUUGUGUCUGGGCUCAUCUCCACUCCUUC